rnacentral:rRNA from 1 species
UACAGAGGUCCCGAGCGUUGUUCGGAUUCAUUGGGCGUAAAGGGUGCGUAGGCGGCGGGGUAAGUCUGAUGUGAAAUCCCGGGGCUCAACCCUGGAACUGCAUUUGAUACUGCGGUGCUUGAGGACUGGAGAGGAGACUGGAAUUUACGGUGUAGCAGUGAAAUGCGUAGAGAUCGUAAGGAAGACCAGUGGCGAAGGCGGGUCUCUGGACAGUUCCUGACACUGAGGCACGAAGGCCGGGGGAGCAAACGGG